UACGUAGGGCGCAAGCGUUGUCCGGAAUCAUUGGGCGUAAAGAGCUCGUAGGCGGCCUGUUGCGUCCGCUGUGAAAGUCCCGGGGCUUAACCCCGGGCGUGCAGUGGAUACGGGCUGGCUGGAGGCAGGCAGGGGAGAACGGAAUUCCCGGUGUGAGCGGUGAAAUGCGCAGAUAUCGGGAGGAACACCGGUGGCGAAGGCGGUUCUCUGGGCCUGUACUGACGCUGAGGAGCGAAAGCGUGGGGAGCGAACGG
rnacentral:rRNA from 1 species